AUUGAACGCUGGCGGCAGGCCUAACACAUGCAAGUCGAGCGAGCGGCGGACGGGUGAGUAAUGUAUGGGGACUGCCCGAUAGAGGGGGAUAACUACUGGAAACGGUGGCUAAUACCGCAUACUAUCGGAUAACCCAUAUGGGAUUAGCUAGUAUGUAAGGUAAUGGCUUACCUAGGCGACGAUCCCUAGCUGGUCUGAGAGGAUGAUCAGCCACACUGGGACUGAUACACGGCCCAGACUCCGACGGAGGCAGCAGGGGGUAAUAUUGCACAAUGGGCGAAAGCCUGAUGCAGCCAUGCCGAGUGUAUGAAGAAGGCCCUAGGGUUGUAAAGUACUUUCAGUCGGGAGGCGUUAUCGACAGAAGAAGCACCGGCUAACUCCGUGCCAGCCGCCGCGGUAAUUC
rnacentral:rRNA from 1 species